rnacentral:rRNA from 1 species
AUUGAACGCCGGCGGCGUGCUUAACACAUGCAAGUCGAGCGGUAACAGGCGUAGCAAUACGUGCUGACGAGCGGCGAACGGGUGAGUAAUGCUUCGGAAUCUUCCUUGUAGUGGGGAAUAACCUGGGGAAACUCAGGCUAAUGCCGCAUACGAACCAUGGUUGAAAGCGGGGGAUCGCAAGACCUCGCGCUAUAAGAUGAGCCGAAGUCAGAUUAGCUAGUUGGUGGGGUAAAGGCCUACCAAGGCGACGAUCCGUAGCUGGUCUGAGAGGACGACCAGCCACACUGGGACUGAGACACGGCCCAGACUCCUACGGGAGGCAGCAGUGGGGAAUAUUGGACAAUGGGGGCAACCCUGAUCCAGCGACGCCGCGUGUGUGAAGAAGGCCUGCGGGUUGUAAAGCACUUUUAGUGGGGACAAAAAGCCGAGGGCUAAUACCUUUCGGUCUUGAUUUAACCCAAAGAAAAAGCACCGGCUAACUCUGUGCCAGCCGCCGCCGUAA